CACAGUUUAAAUUUUCAGUGUUAAAAAAUUCAGCAUAUAAAAAAAUUCAACUUUUCAAAAUUCAAAUGCAAUAUUUUCAGUGUCCUCCAAUUCAACUUGCUCAAAUUCGCUGUCUCAAAUUCAACGUCUAAAAAUUCGCUGUAAAAAUGGCGAGGUUACUUCAGGUCACAGACAUUAGCAAUGGAUGUCAGAUUCCAGGACCCAGCUAAUCACGUGACGCAACCGUCAUAUUGAAGAAAUACCAGCAUCACCCAGGCUGGCGACCAUGGAGGCGAACGCAAACCCAACGCCACACCACCUGAACUGAAAGACAUGAUGAAAUUCUGGACCGGAUGGGAAAAUCUGCCUUCAAGUCUGUCUGUGGAGAUUGUUCAUGGAAACUACCCAACAGCUGCCACUUGAUACUACAGGAGUUACAAAUCUUUCAGUGGUGAGUUGUUAGCAUGUAUUUCCUCUACGCAAACUGGCUUUGGCUUGCUUUGAAUGAUCGACCUGCAAAAAAAAAAAAAAAAAAAUCUACAUUUAAGCUGUAGCAGUUCUUUG